GCCUGGGUGGCUCAGUUGGUUGAGUGUCCGACUUGGGCUCGGGUCACAAUCUCACAGUUCGUGGGUUCGAGCCCUGCAUCCGGCU
rfam:Felis catus isolate Cinnamon breed Abyssinian chromosome A3, whole genome shotgun sequence.